UACGUAGGGGGCGAGCGUUGUCCGGAUUUAUUGGGCGUAAAGAGCGUGUAGGCGGUUCGGUAAGUCUGUCGUGAAAUCCUGAGGCUCAACCUCGGGCGUGCGAUGGACACUGCCGGGCUAGAGGGUGGUAGAGGCGAGUGGGAUUCCCGGUGUAGCGGUGAAAUGCGUAGAUAUCGGGAGGAACACCAGUAGCGAAGGCGGCUCGCUGGGCCACACCUGACGCUGAGACGCGAAAGCUAGGGGAGCGAACAGG
rnacentral:rRNA from 1 species